rnacentral:rRNA from 1 species
GUCCACGCCGUAAACGAUGGGUGCUAGGUGUGGGGGUGUCGACUCCCUCCGUGCCGAAGCUAACGCAUUAAGCACCCCGCCUGGGGAGUACGGCCGCAAGGCUAAAACUCAAAGGAAUUGACGGGGCCCGCACAAGCAGCGGAGCAUGUGGUUUAAUUCGACGCAACGCGAAGAACCUUACCAAGGCUUGACAUGCAUUUGAAAAACGUGGAAACACGUUCCCUCUUCGGAGCAAAAUGCACAGGUGGUGCAUGGCUGUCGU